ACACGAGAGAGGAGGUGGUCCGAACAAUUGAUGUCGUUCAGGACGCGUGAGGUGGCUGUCCGCUAGCCGCCGUCCAGAUGGGCCGCCCGCUCGGCACCGGAUCAACCCGGUCUGAGCGCGUGGCAUCGCCCGUCCGCCGAUGGCGGCGAGCGAAUACCGGACAGUCACCCGACCCCCGGGCCGCCGACCCAGUCCAGUCGGCCCGCGAGCCGCUCCCC
rnacentral:sRNA from 1 species